CCUACGGGAGGCAGCAGUGAGGAAUAUUGGUCAAUGGACGAGAGUCUGAACCAGCCAAGUAGCGUGAAGGAUGACUGGCCUCUGGGUUGUAAACUUCUUUUAUAUGGGAAUAAAAUGUUCCACGUGUGGGGUUUUGUAUAUACCAUAUGAAUAAGGCUCGUCUAACUCCGUGCCAGCAGCCGCGGUAAUACGGAGGAUCCGAGCGUUAUCCGGAUUUAUUGGGUUUAAAGGGAGCGUAGGUGGAUUGUUAAGUCAGUUGUGAAAGUUUGCGGCUCAACCGUAAAAUUGCAGUUGAAACUGGCAGUCUUGAGUACAGGAGAGGUGGGUGGAAUUCGUGGUGUAGCGGUGAAAUGCUUAGAUAUCACGAAGAACUCCGAUUGCGAAGGCAGCUCACUGGACUGCAACUGACACUGAGGCUCGAAAGUGUGGGGAUCAAACAGGAUUAGAUACCCGAGUAGUC
rnacentral:rRNA from 1 species